AGACCUCAUUUAAGGGCUGACUGCGACAGGGAAAGGAUUUUUUUCUGGAGAUUUCUCUCUGGUGAAGCUUUUUUUGUGAACCUGGAAUCUUCUGAUAUGGGGAAUAGAAAACUCGUGUGUUGAAGUAGAAGAAGAAUUAAUGCUUAGGAUGAGAGAUGUGUCUGGAAAGAUGUAAAGAAAUGAAGCAUUGGACAGAGAGUGAGCUGCAGCACGAGAUAGGCCCUGCCUUGCACCUGUUUUUGCUGCUGUGUUCUCCCAUUGUUCCAGAAUUGACUGUCAUAGGUUAAAUUAUUCUGCUAAUAUUAAGAGCGUUCACUUGACUGUUCUUGACCUUCUUGCUGACAUGGGCUUUGCUUUGCGAUCUAAUGAAAAGAACCUGAAGAACGUUCAGGAAAAAAUGACCUUUAAAUACUCGUUCAUCUCAGACUAAAUGCAAAAUGAAGGAUUCCAUGGUGGAUGCCAAAACCGGCUGGUAUCUACAGAGCUAUCUAACCUGAGCCUGGGGUAGUGAGUCAGGAAGGCAGCCCUUACUGCCACCUGGGAGUAUUGGUUCCUCCAGAGAAGAAUGUGAUCCCACUGAAUGGCAAUUGAGAAAAGCAUGCGUCGUUCCUGAAGGUACUGUAGGUGCAGUUAAAUUGCUGCCCUGUUACUGAUGGACUACAGCCAGGCUUUCACUGCCACAGAGGGCACAAAAUCAUCUGCUUAUUUGCCUGAGUUCUGCAAUUCUGCACGUGUUCUGAGAAUAUUAAGGCUGCUCCAUAUUGGCAACUCCUAAACUGCUGAACCCUAAUAUUAUUAGGAAUUGACAUCUUGCUGGUAUUUACACUGUGUUAAGUUGACCUGUUUGUCUGUUCCCAAUAUUAAAUGCUGUUGGCUCUGAAGUCUGAAUUUAUGUGACAAGACCUUAAUUUUCUCACUACUUCAGCAAACUCGUAUCUUCAAGGCCAGUUUCAGAAUCAUUAUCAGUGGGAAAUUAUCAUUUCACAAGGUGCUUGUGUGGAUUUGAAUAAUCAUCUUUUGUAGCUGUUGGUUAGAGCAGUCCUUCCUUGUUUUUGAUGAUACUAUCUUGCUCCCUUGAAAGUACAAGAUCUGUGUUAGCUUUUCUAAAUUCUUAGAGUUUGAACUCUUUCCUGAAGGUUUCACAGCUUUUUUUUUUUUUGUCUAUAAGAGGCUCUGAAUGGCAGUAAUUCUUUUAGAAGAUGACUGAUGAAAUAACUCGCUUGUAAGAAGUAAGUAGGCAUAUCUGAAUCAAUGUAGAAAGACAAAUGUGUUCAUUAGCUGCUAAUAUUUUGAUGAAACCUGAAAUCGAAACGUACCAUGGAUCUGAGCAAGUAGGGAAUAUCUUACCAUCUUAAACAGUUCAAUGAAUAUUUAGUCCUAGGCAAAAUAUUUUUACAGUGAAUGGCACCGAUGAGAGACUUAAGUCCCAGAAGUAAUCAAUAUCUUUACAGACUUUUUUUUAUUGGACAGUGCAGUCUGUGACUGUUGGUGAUGGCUUUAAUAACUGCAUGAUUAGCUUGUCUCUGCCUGUAUUCUGUCCAUCAGGUAAGUUGCAUUCAACCUUGGAGACGCUUUAGUUUUCCCUCAUGUAAUUCUCAUUCUUUAUUGCAACUGGUUCAGUAACACAGAUAUAUAGCAUGUCAAAAUAAGAACUUCAAGUAGCAAAAAGGGGGAGGAAGAGACUGAUCUCUUCUAAUGAUAAGAUUAUUGGAAUUUUGUAUUGCAGCAAGAUCAUUUCCUUGUUCUUCUUCCAAAAAGCACAUAGGGGUUUUUUGAAAGUAAUAAAAGAUGAUUCAUAUACUUGAUAAAAAUCUGUCAGUCAGGGUGCAGGAAAAAUUAUACUAAUUUGAGAUUGUGUCUAAAUUAUACAAGUUCAUAUAACUUAGUUAUUUUCUGUACUGUAUUCAAAUAUUAAUAUCCAUUUUUUCCUAAAAUAUGAUAAUACACAGAAGUGAGGCACAGUAGUGAACCUUUCAUGACACCCUGUUUCACAACAGGUCUUGCUGUGUUUCAUGUCUAUCAUGUCUAUGAAAUAAAAAUUCCAUUCCAGUUCCUCCAGUCUCUGUUCUGUGGUUUUCUAGAAAUCCUGCAGCUACCUCCCCCUUGUCUUUAGCUCAUUUUUAGUUUCUUGAUGCAAUAUUCCAACAAGAAAACUUGAAGUAUAGACUGACCCCACUGUCAGUACUAUCUAGGCUAGCUUUACGUUUUGAAAAAAGUAUGUCUGUUUAUCAUUAACUUCCAAGCAUGUUUGAUCACCUGCACAACUAAUUUGUGUUGUCAGUUUUUCUUAUUAAUUCUGCAUUUGCUACUUAGAAAAAUAAGAUUAGAGAUUCUAACACUGCACAUGUUUAACACAUUAGGCUCAAUAUCUGGAAAAUCUGCUUAAAAGAUAUUAGUGAAAAGCUGGCAUCAAAUUCUUUGGAUCAGACUUUAAGGGUUCGGUUGAAAUUCACAGAUCGUGAUGCAGUAAUGAAUAGGUUUUUGUUGUUGCUCUAAAGUAAAGGCUGAGUGUAUUCUUAAAAGAUGGUAAGUAUUUUCUUAAUCUUUUUGCUGAUUGAUGACCAGUGGGGCAAAUUGAUCCAUGAUGCCUUGUUGCUGUUUAUCUUGUUAAUACUGAUUCAAGAAAUAUUUCGAGUCAGAAGAAGGUGCACUUCAUAUAUGUAAAGUAGCUCCAAAAUUUGGAUUCAAAUAUCUGAAAUGUUAGAAAAUUUCUAUGUCCUUCUGUUCAGUUUAUGUAAUAAAUUAAAAAAUAAAAUCAAUG
ensembl:lncRNA